rnacentral:rRNA from 1 species
UACGUAGGGGGCAAGCGUUGUCCGGAUUCAUUGGGCGUAAAGAGCGUGUAGGCGGCUUGUUAAGUCUUGCGUGAAAUCUCGGGGCUCAACCCCGAGCGGUCGUGAGAAACUGGCAGGCUAGAGUGCGGGAGAGGAGAGUGGAAUUCCUGGUGUAGCGGUGAAAUGCGCAGAUAUCAGGAAGAACACCCGUGGCGAAGGCGGCUCUCUGGAACGCAACUGACGCUGAGACGCGAAAGCGUGGGGAGCAAACAGG